rnacentral:rRNA from 1 species
UACGGGGGGGGCAAGCGUUGUUCGGAAUUACUGGGCGUAAAGGGCUCGUAGGUGGCCAACUAAGUCAGACGUGAAAUCCCUCAGCUUAACUGGGGAACUGCGUCUGAUACUGGAUGGCUUGAGAUUGGGAGAGGGAUGCGGAAUUCCAGGUGUAGCGGUGAAAUGCGUAGAGAUGUGGAGGAAUACCGAUGGCGAAGGCAGCCCCCUGGGAUAACACUGACGCUCAUGCACGAAAGCGUGGGGAGCAAACAGG